AAGUGUUUUACUCAAUUAUUUCGAUCAAUGUUGAGCUCACCCGUGAUGAGUGGUGCAUCACUUGAGUGGGUUGAGUCACUGAUGUGAUCUUCCUGUCUGGGUUGGCGCCCACCCUUGGUUGUGCCGUGGUGGAGAUCUUCGUGGGCUAUAAUCAACCUUGUCUCAGGAUGGACCUGAGCCCUAGGACCAUGCCUCAGGACUACCUGGCCUGAUGACUCCUUGCUGUCCCCAGUCCACCUGGUCAUGCUGCUGCUCCAGUUUCAACAGUUCUGCCUGCGGCUAUGGAACCCUGACCUGUUCACCGGACGUGCCACCUGUCCCAGACCUGCUGAUUUCAACUCUCUAGAGACAGCUGGAAUGGUAGAGAUACUCUGUCUGAUCGGCUAUGAAAAGCCAACUGACAUUUACUCCUGAGGUGCUGGCCUGUUGCACCCUCUACAAUCACUGUGAUUAUUAUUAUUUGACCCUGCUGGUCAUCUAUGAACAUUUGAACAUCUUGGCCAUGUUCUGUUAUAAUCUCCACCCGGC
ensembl:lncRNA